rnacentral:rRNA from 1 species
AUUGAACGCUGGCGGCAUGCUUUACACAUGCAAGUCGAACGGGAACAGGUUAAGCUGACGAGUGGCGAACGGGUGAGUAAUGCAUCGGAACGUGCCCGAUCGUGGGGGAUAACGCAGCGAAAGCUGCGCUAAUACCGCAUACGAUCUGAGGAUGAAAGCGGGGGACCGUAAGGCCUCGCGCGAUCGGAGCGGCCGAUGUCAGAUUAGGUAGUUGGGGGGGUAAAGGCUCACCAAGCCGACGAUCUGUAGCUGGUCUGAGAGGGCGACCAGCCACACUGGGACUGAGACACGGCCCAGACUCCUACGGGAGGCAGCAGUGGGGAAUUUCGGACAAUGGGCGCAAGCCUGAUCCAGCAAUGCCGCGUGCAGGAAGAAGGCCUUCGGGUUGUAAACUGCUUUUGUACGGAGCGAAAAGGCUUUCUCUAAUACAGGAGGCUGAUGACGGUACCGUAAGAAUAAGCACCGGCUAACUACGUGCCAGCCGCCGCCGUAAGAC